UCACUGCAGAAUAUUGAUGGUGGUUUUGCUACAUAUGAGCUGACAAGAUCCUAUCAGUGGUUGGAGUUAAUCAACCCUGCUGAAACUUUUGGUGACAUAGUUAUAGUCUAUCCAUUUGUUGAAUGCACCUCAGCAGCAAUUCAGGCACUAGCCUCAUUCAUGAAAUUAUAUCCUGAACAUAGAACAGAAGAAAUUCAAAAUUGU